AGAGUUUGAUCCUGGCUCAGAGCGAACGCUGGCGGCAUGCUUAACACAUGCAAGUCGCACGGUCAGCAAUGGCAGUGGCGGACGGGUGAGUAACGCGUAGGAAUCUAUCUCUGGGUGGGGGACAACCGUGGGAAACUACGGCUAAUACCGCAUGAUACCUGAGGGUCAAAGGCGUAAGUCGCCUGGAGAGGAGCCUGCGUCUGAUUAGCUAGUUGGUGGGGUAAAGGCUUACCAAGGCGACGAUCAGUAGCUGGUCUGAGAGGAUGAUCAGCCACAUUGGGACUGAGACACGGCCCAAACUCCUACGGGAGGCAGCAGUGGGGAAUAUUGGACAAUGGGCGCAAGCCUGAUCCAGCAAUGCCGCGUGUGUGAAGAAGGUCUUCGGAUUGUAAAGCACUUUUGGCAGGGACGAUGAUGACGGUACCUGCAGAAUAAGCCC
rnacentral:rRNA from 1 species